rnacentral:rRNA from 1 species
UAAUGGGUGAUGGCGUGCCUUUUGUAGAAUGAACCGGCGAGUUACGAUUUGAUGCAAGGUUAAGCAGUAAAUGUGGAGCCGUAGCGAAAGCGAGUCUGAAUAGGGCGUUUAGUAUUUGGUCGUAGACCCGAAACCAGGUGAUCUACCCUUGGUCAGGUUGAAGUUCAGGUAACACUGAAUGGAGGACCGAACCGACUUACGUUGAAAAGUGAGCGGAUGAACUGAGGGUAGCGGAGAAAUUCCAAUCGAACCUGGAGAUAGCUGGUUCUCUCCGAAAUAGCUUUAGGGCUAGCCUCAAGUGAUGAUUAUUGGAGGUAGAGCACUGUUUGGACGAGGGGCCCCUCUCGGGUUACCGAAUUCAGACAAACUCCGAAUGCCAAUUAAUUUAACUUGGGAGUCAGAACAUGGGUGAUAAGGUCCGUGUUCGAAAGGGAAACAGCCCAGACCACCAGCUAAGGUCCCAAAAUAUAUGUUAAGUGGAAAAGGAUGUGGCGUUGCCCAGACAACUAGGAUGUUGGCUUAGAAGCAGCCAUCAUUUAAAGAGUGCGUAAUAGCUCACUAGUCGAGUGACACUGCGCCGA